GGCUGGGCUUCAGUUGAACUUCAUGAUGGUUCCUCACAGGUUCUUUGUGCUGUCUUUUCUGCUGGUGCUCAUCUCUCAUGCGUUCGGGUCUCCGGUUGAGCGGGAGCUGGUACGUGAGGACGGGCUCCUACUGGUCAGAGACUACAGAGAUACCCAUAAUACCUUGGGGGAGAAGAAGCUGAUGCUCUGGGAUGGAGAUGAAGGUUCUGGAGCUUCUGCAGGAGUGGUGGAGAUGAAGGGCAGGUGAAAAG